CCAUAACCAUUUCGCGUCAAG
rnacentral:sRNA from 1 species